CCUCGCCGCCGCCAAGCAGGUGCGGGGAGCCAGGCUCCGCGCGCAGGCGACGUACAAGGUGAAGCUGGUGACGCCCGAGGGCGAGGUGGAGCUGGAGGUCCCCGACGACGUCUACAUCCUGGACCAGGCCGAGGAGGAGGGCAUCGACCUGCCCUACUCCUGCCGCGCCGGCUCCUGCUCCUCCUGCGCCGGCAAGUUGGUGUCCGGCGAGAUCGACCAGUCCGACCAGAGCUUCCUCGACGACGACCAGAUGGAGGCAGGGUGGGUGCUCACCUGCCACGCCUACCCCAAGUCCGACAUCGUCAUCGAGACCCACAAGGAGGAGGAGCUCACCGCAUAAGCUGCUUACCCUGCCUCUCUUUGCAACAAGAUCGAGCUGAUAUCAUAUUAUCUCCCAUCAUGCAUGCAUGCAUGGAUAUCGCCAGAUACACCGAUUUGUUUGUGCUCGAAUGAAUUGCUCGAUGCAUGGUUUGCUCCAGUAAUAAUGUCUUCGAAUUACUACCUUUUUGUACCGUAAGAUAUACUACUGUCGUAAUACUAGCGUGUACUUAAUUCAACGUACUGAAAUGAAUCCUGAU
rnacentral:lncRNA from 1 species